AGAACGAUAUCACUUUUGCCAUUCACUUAACUAAUGUAAACAUAUGUAUUGACAGCUUUUAAAGGAUUUUACAUAGUGUAUGAUGAUAAAUACUUCUCUUAAGUCAUAUGGACAUCGAAUAUCAUGGUUUUACUUCUGCUGUGUUAUUCGUGCCUUCUUGUUAUCUCAGGAACACAGGAUGUCACGUGUGGAGCUGAUUGCAGUUGCCAUGGUUAUACGAUGGCAUGUUCAGGUGAAAACCUUCCAACAUAUUUACCGUGGAAUAUCACAGAGAUAUUCCUUCAGGAUGUGGACUUUAAAGAAGUUGCGAAGCACUUUCAAUCUCAACCACAAGAAUGGUCAGCAAUAACACGCCUCACCUUACAAGCGACCUUCAGCAAGGAAAUUGUAUCAGGAAUGUUUACCGUCUUUAAGGUUCUAAACUAUCUAAAAGUCGAAGGAGACGCAUUCAGCAACAUAACUGAUUCUGCUUUCGUUGGCCUCGAUACUGUAGAAACUUUGGAUCUCUCUGCUAAUGGGAAUUUAUUGUAUGAUUCAGUUGCCAAGGCUCUUUGUUUUGUGAACAACGGAAUCCAUGUGCUAUCAAAUUUAAAGAUGUUAAAUAUAUCAUGGAUAGGAAGGAAAUAUUUCGAGCCGGUGAACAUGGAUUUUAACUUCUUUGUUAGUUUGUCAAGCGGAAAAAGACUGAAGCAACUCGACAUAUCUCAUAUUAACCUCGCUGUUUUAGACAUAAGGAACUUUUACCCUUUGUGUGACAAUGGUCUAGAAACCCUUGUUUUGGAAUUCGCUGUGUUUUCCUCUGUUGGCUAUUACUACAUUCCCGGUAAAGUGUGCCUACGUUUGAAAUCACUCAGUUUCGAAGGAUCAUUCUUUGCAAGUGGAGCUCUGAACUAUAUUUCAUUACUAUCCCAAUUUCAUUGCAGACAUCUCGUAUUCUAUAACACUGUAGCAGAGCUAAAUGUGAAAAGUGUCUCUGACAUUGAGAUGACAAUUAGCCACCCAGACCGACAGGUUAUUCUGGAUUUCUCGGAGUGUCCUAUGCAAUUUCAAAAGAUAAUCUACGCUAACAACAAGUUGAAGUUUGCAAAUAUAACGGUUCUUCUUCAUCGAACAACUGCAUCGACUCUACAAUAUCUAGACUUUUCCGACAACCUUAUAGAGUACAUAUCCCCAGAGAGUUUGGCGCCAUCAGUGAGUUUACGUUUACUUGAUAUUUCGAAAAAUAAACUACAAAGCAUGAAUCAAAUGUACCCAGAAGAUUUUAAGCGAUUAUUGCUACCACUUACACAGUUAAAAGAGCUAAAAAUGUCAAGCAACAGAUUGGAAAACUUACCGACAAAUUUUCUGUCUGGCAAUUCGCAUUUGAUGCGUAUAGAUUUGUCAAACAACAUGUUAAAAGAAAUACCUUUCGGCAUAAAUAAUUUGGAUAUGUUGCAAGUAAUAGACUUAUCUAGAAACAACUUCAAAAUCAUAGAUGCAUAUACACUACAAUUGCUCCAGAGAUUAAGUACAGUUUUCGUUGAUCUUCGCGAUAAUCAAUUAGAUUGUGGAUGUGAAUCAACUGAACAGAAAUUGAUCGAAUGGUUAAAAGAUAAUGCAAGGAAGGGAGAAGUAGCUAGUUUCUACUGUGACUAUGAAGAUAAAAGACUUGAUAUAGCUCUUGAAUCUUCAGUAAACGAUAUACAAAGAGACUGCAUGAUGAAGGUUGUACGCACAGUUCUUGCUGUGACCAUUCCAAGUUGUAUAGCUAUCUUGUCCUUGUUAGUGAUAACAAUUAUUGUGUUUCGAAGGCGCCGUUUGAAACGAAGGGCCUUAUUGGAUGUUAUAGAAAAGAUCAGGAAGGGUGAAUUCACCAACGAUUUCUUGACCUUCCUUUGCUUUGCCAGCGACGACACAGAGGUUAUUGAAAGAGACGUGUAUCCACAUUUAAAUUCAAAUUUUAAGGAUAUCAUUGGCGUUGACAAGGAGUUCGUUUGCAAAGGAGACUUUAAUUUCCGGCCGGGAUUUCGGAUUUUGGACGAGACCGAGAAAUGCGUAGAGAAAUGUUCUGUGAUAGUAGCAGCUGUUUCAAGAACUUUCUGUCAACGACAUUGGUGUGAGAAAGAAUUGCUUCAAGCCGUCAACAGCGGCAAACCGAUUGUACUGCUCAUGCUAGAGAAGGUUGAUAAAAAGUUAAUGCCGCCUGUUAUAAAUCGGUUCUUUGGAACAUUGGUUCAUGCAUCCUUGAUAAAUGAUGGAAAAGAAACCAAGCUGGUUCCUGACUGGCGCGUCCUGUGUAACGCAAUCCUUGAGUUAGCUGGAAUAGAGUCUGCUAAAAUAUCAGCGCGCCAGGAUAUUUCGAAUGAAAUACCAGUUAAUAUUAAUUUCAGUGAUUUAACCGAUGAUCACAUUGAGAUGCAUUAAUGCAGGAAUAAACUCAAAACGUUAUUGUUAAUAUUUAAAUACCCAGUAACCAUAUGCUCAAGUGCCAUUAACAGUACAAUGGGUAUGUGUCUUAUACCCUUUUGCAUAUCGAUUAUACUUCAUGGAGUGGGUACUGGAAGUCAUAUUUUGAAAAUAUUAACUUCCGGUGUUCACAUGAUGAAAUUUAAUCUAAAACUCAUGAAAACAAACAUGUUUAUUUAUUUUUAUGUACUAAACACUCGUAUGAAAUGACAUCACAUGUAUUUGAUCUAACCAUUUUAUUUUGUUUGAAAUGUCAAAGUGUUCCUCAUAAACAUUCAUGCUCUACCGAUAAUGGAAGAAUCGACUUGACGAGUAUUAUGUAUAAAACAGUUUUAAAUAAUUUGGAAAGAAAAAAAAUCCUCAAAAAAUAAUUAAUUUGUAUAUUUUGUCUAUCUUAAGACAUUUUGAAGAGCUCAAAUUUCUUUUGCGCGUCGAUGUGGAUUGUCUGGUCGGAAACGUCCUACAGUACAUACCGUCAUUCAACCAAUAUAGACAAAUACAAUAACCUAUUGACCAGUCGCCAAAGAAAUAACUGCUGCUUGUUGAGCUUAUUAAGCGAGGUUUUUAAUUUAAUCCAUUGGAUAAUGCAACCAUGUUUUCUUUUACUUAUUGAUAAGAAUAUAAGUUUGUAAUUUGUCAAAUGUUUGUUUGAUUGAUAACUGGCUACCGGUCCAUGGAACCAAUACAGACCGAUAAAAGCCUUAUUUAUUAUAUUCAUAUCAUUUAUUUAACGAUUACAUUUAAAUUUUAAUCCAUGUUAAGAACUUAUUUAAAUGAAACAAGACAUUUGCAUAGUGAAUUCGGUGGUGAUGAAGGCGACUGGAGUGAAAGCAAUGGCACUGAGAGGGAAAGCAAGUAAUAACAAAGACGAGUGGGGCAACAAUGACGACGGAAUCAGUAACCUCGGCGUCGGGAGGAGUAACAACGAGCGCCUGAGGAGUGAUAAUUAUGACAAGGAUGCAAUAAAAGCGUUAUUGCCGACCAGAGAGAAAACAAGAAUGUUUGUGUGGAAACUUGCAGCGCUGUUACUCGUUUUCGUUGCAGCUGAGAGUUGCGACAUAACAAGAACGAUCCGGUGCUCCUGUCAUGGCUACAAGUAUGCCGAAUGUUUCGUCCCGGGAGGAUACGGCAACGCCAUUAUUACAGGCAACCGGAUUCAGAUAAACAAUAUCAACGAUCUUGGAUAAUUCUGAGAAAGUCAUAUCCUACAGUGACAUUAUACGGCUGACGUUUCUACUUGUAGCAGACGUCAAACGUCGCUCUGCACCCUCUGUCCACCCAUAUCGAAUUGCUGUCGCUUCCAAAACUUCUUCCCAAUGUGCAGGGGGACCUUGACCUUUUACUCUUCAACGCG